CCUACGGGCGGCUGCAGUGAGGGAUAUUGGUCAAUGGGGGAAACCCUGAACCAGCAACGCCGCGUGAGGGAAGACGGUUUUCGGAUUGUAAACCUCUGUCCUCUGUGAAGAUGAUGACGGUAGCAGAGGAGGAAGCUCCGGCUAACUACGUGCCAGCAGCCGCGGUAAUACGGAGGGGGCAAGCGUUAUCCGGAUUUACUGGGUGUAAAGGGAGCGUAGACGGCAGCGCAAGUCUGGAGUGAAAUGCCGGGGCCCAACCCCGGAACUGCUCUGGAAACUGUGAAGCUGGAGUGCAGGAGAGGUAAGCGGAAUUCCUGGUGUAGCGGUGAAAUGCGUAGAUAUCAGGAGGAACACCGGCGGCGAAGGCGGCUUACUGGACUGUAACUGACGUUGAGGCUCGAAGGCGUGGGGAGCAAACAGGAUUAGAUACCCGAGUAGUC
rnacentral:rRNA from 1 species